UACGAAGGGGGGCUAGCGUUGUUCGGAGUUACUGGGCGUAAAGGGCGCGUAGGCGGCGCACCAAGUCAGGCGUGAAAGCCCUGGGCUCAACCCGGGAAUUGCGCUUGAGACUGGUGUGCUUGAGUACGGGAGAGGAUAGUGGAAUUCCCAGUGUAGAGGUGAAAUUCGUAGAUAUUGGGAAGAACACCGGUGGCGAAGGCGGCUAUCUGGACCCGUAACUGACGCUGAGGCGCGAAAGCG
rnacentral:rRNA from 1 species